AGUGAACGCUGCGGUAGGCCUAACACAUGCCAGUCGAACGGCAGCACAGGAGAGCUUGCUCUCUGGGUGGCGAGUGGCGGACGGGUGAGGAAUACAUCGGAAUCUGCCCAGUCGUGGGGGAUAACGUAGGGAAACUUACGCUAAUACCGCAUACGACCUUCGGGUGAAAGAGGGGGAUCGCAAGACCUCUCGCGAUUGGAUGAGCCGAUGUCGGAUUAGCUAGUUGGCGGGGUAAUGGCCCACCAAGGCGACGAUCCGUAGCUGGUCUGAGAGGAUGAUCAGCCACACUGGAACUGAGACACGGUCCAGACUCCUACGGGAGGCAGCAGUGGGGAAUAUUGGACAAUGGGCGCAAGCCUGAUCCAGCCAUACCGCGUGGGUGAAGAAGGCCUUCGGGUUGUAAAGCCCUUUUGUUGGGAAAGAAAUCUUUCAGGCUAAUACCCUGGGAGGAUGACGGUACCCAAAGAAUAAGCACCGGCUAACUUCGUG
rnacentral:rRNA from 1 species